CCUCCUCGAUCUGCUGUGGGGCGAUGAAAUGGAUAUGGCUGUCGAUCGCACCGGCAGUAAGGAUCAGGCCUUCGCCGGCGAUGAUCUCGGUGCCUGGUCCGAUCACGAUGGUCACGCCGGGCUGGAUGUCGGGAUUGCCGGCCUUGCCGAUGCCGCUGAUGCGCCCGUGUUUGAGGCCGACAUCCGCUUUUACGAUGCCCCAGUGAUCGACGAUCAGCGCAUUGGUGAUCACCGUGUCGGCGCAGUCGGUGGUCUGUCGCUGGCUCUGGCCCAUGCCGUCGCGG
rnacentral:sRNA from 1 species